AAUUUGAGCCUUGUCACGUUUUGUCCCAUAUUUCGAUGGGUUUUCGCUAGGUGUGUCAAUUCGGACAAACGGAACGGGCUUGGGUCGGGUUUAUCGGUGUGGGUUGAAACAAGUUCGUUUUGCUUACAGAUUUGGUCUUGUUCGAAAGUCAGCGGGUCGGGUUGAUUAAGUAGGGGUACACGUAGACUUGUCAAAAAUCGACCCGGCCCGAAAACUGAGUCGAACCCGACCCGAAAAUAUCGAGUCUUGAACAAGAUUUGUGACCCGUAACCCGAUUUUUAUCCGAACCCAAGCAAUCCGAAAAGUAAUGGGACAAAACCCGACCAAACCCGUUUUUGACCCGACCGAUUGAAAAUGAUUGUAUUUAUAGUAAAUUAGUAAUAAAUGAGAUUAUGAGGAAUUUCAAGCAUAGUAAUCACAUUGAUUUUAUUAUUGUUGGGUGUAAUAUGAUUUUAAUUUAAAUUACACGUCAUUUAAUGAUUGAAUUUGACUAAAUAUAAACUUGUGUAGGAAAAUUUAUGAUUUUGUGCUCGUAUUUGAUAUAUAUAUUACCUAAAUUAAUGAAAAUAUAAUACUCGUUUUAAAAUCUCUUAAACCGUUGGGCCACCCGAAAUUUCUAGAUCUUGAACAAGCAUUUGUAAAACCGAACCCGAAAGUGACCGAUCCAAUUUAACCCGAACCCAAAAACAAUUUUUUAUAACCCGAUCCGAACGACACGUUUGACGGGUCUAAGUAGGGGUUUAUAUCGGGUUGGUCUCAUAUUGAAUCGGAUUAUAAUCGGGUCAGGUUGUAAACGGGUUUAGCCGGAUUAUAAUAGGUCUGUAUCAUGUCAUUUUAUCGGAUAACAGUAUGAAAUGACUUGAGUUUAACAGGUUUAGUCGAGUUACAUCGGGUUCAGGUUCAUAUCGAUUUGAGUUCUUAUCAUUUUGGUUCUUAUCGGUUUGGGUUCAUACAGUGUGGAUAAAUCAGUAGUGAGUUGUACUCCGAGUCAGGUCAUUCCAGUCCCAAAUUAUAAAAUCACAAUUAAAAUAAAAGAAAUUCAAUACGUUUAUAAAUUAUAAUAUUGAGGCCUUUAGGAGACAAGGACGAUAACUAACCUUUAAAAAUAUUAAAAAUUUAAGAUCAAUAGCGGGAUUAAACGGGUUACAGUUGUAAACUAGUAUAGUACCCGUGCGAUGCACGAUUUAUGAUAUGAAUAUUGAAUUUGCAUAUCUAAACUUUUACUAAACUAUAGUUAUAGGCAAUUAUCAUCAAAAUAGAGCUUAUAGAUAAUAUUAUUAUUGAAACUAAUGAUGAAUAGAUCUGUUAUUGCCUCAUUCCUUGUCUUAUUUAUUUAACAAACUCAAAAAAAAAAUUAAAAAAAUAAUAAGGGUACAUAGAUAAAUUUAUGCUUUUCCCCUUUCAUAACCCAUGUCAAACAUAAAGUUAUUCCCAUCUGCUCUUUACUUCGAUAGUCAUACCCACUUAAUACUCCCCUACCAUCUACUCCCUUUGUUCCAUAAUGUUCCUCACUUUUCCAUUAUGCGCGAUAUCCAAUGCACUACACUACAACAAUUUACUAGUCUAGCGGCAUUUAUCUAGCGGCAUUUAUGUUAAAUGUCACUAUAAUACGUCUUUAGGCGGCAUAUCUAGUGGCAUUUCUUAAAAAUGCCAGUAAAAGCCCAAAUUUUCUUUGGCGGUGUAUUAGCCCACUAGGCGCGGUGAUUUGGACCAAUUUAGUUUUAUCCGCGCUUCGAUUUUUUCCAACCCAAAGAAACCCUCACAUAACUCCAAAAACAGAACUCAAACCCUCGCCUCCAACAUUUUCUCUCUCAUCUACAAUUCUCACUACUCAAAUAUUGAUGCAAUUCUCUACCAACAGCUUUGAAAUUCUUUAUUUUCAUUACAAAAUUGGAGAUUCUUGCUAAAAAUACAAGAAUUGAGGUGGAAUUUGACCCGGUGGCUGCAACGGUGGUGGCGGCAUCAAGGGUUUGAUUGGUUAGGCGUUAGUGCUUCUUCGAUCGAACGGCUGAUGAUACUCAGGGAGCUACUGGCAAUAUUGUGAACACUCGAACAAAUAUGAGUCCUCCAUCAAUAAGCCUAGAAGAACUAGAAGAUCAAAUGAUUGAUGGGAGUUUAGAGAAUUGUUAAAGGCAUUGUUGCUAGGUAGAAGAGUUCAUGAUUUCAGUACUUAGUACCUAGUGAACAGGUUAUUUUUUUUAUCAAGUGGGGUGAACUUGUCUAUUAUUUGUGAAGCUUGAUGCUGAUUGUUGCUGGUUUUGGAAGUUGUGAAGAGCCUAAAUAGCCUUUGAAUUGUGAAGCUUAAUGCUGAUUUUUGCUGAUUUUGGAAGUUGUGAAGAGCCUAAAUAGCCUUUCAAAUGGGUAUUUGCAUCAUGUGUAGUUAGUUUUGAAGUAGUUCGAAGUAUGAAUUUGAAGUUCAACAACAAGAAAGAUGUAACAAGUUUUUGGUGGUACCUUGGAUGAUGAUGUAACAACAAUUAUUCAUAUCUAUUAAAUAUAUAAUGAUCUCCCUAAUAUUAUACAUUUGUGUAUUGUUGUGAUGGAAGUGAAAUAUGAAGAUUUAAAGUAUUCUAGAAGAAA